CCCUUAGAUGUUCUGGGCCGCACGCGCGCUACACUGAUGCACUCAACGAGUCUCCACCUUGACCGAAAGGUCCGGGAAACCUUCGAACUUGCAUCGUGAUGGGGAUAGAUUAUUGCAACUAUUAAUCUUCAACGAGGAAUGCCUAGUAAGCGCAAGUCAUCAGCUUGCGUUGAUUACGUCCCUGCCCUUUGUACACACCGCCCGUCGCUCCUACCGAUUGAAUGGUCCGGUGAAGCGUUCGGACCGUGGCCUUUGGACGGUUCGCCGUCUGUUGGCUGCGGGAAGUUCGUUAAACCUUAUCAUUUAGAGGAAGGAGAANUCGUANCA
rnacentral:rRNA from 1 species